rnacentral:sRNA from 1 species
GCGACAUGGGCUCCGCUCCCUUGGCCCCGGUCCUGCUGCUGGCGCUCGGGCUGCGCGGCCUCCAGGCGGGGGGUGAGUGUGGCGGCGCCCCCCAGCCCAUUCCCCGGCCCCGGCCCCGCCUCUGAGGUUCGCGUCCCCCCACAGCCCGCAGGGCCCCGGACCCCGGCUUCCAGGAGCGCUUCUUCCAGCAGCGUCUGGACCACUUCAACUUCGAGCGCUUCGGCAACAAGACCUUCCCCCAGCGCUUCCUGGUGUCGGACAGGUUCUGGGUCCGGGGCGAGGGGCCCAUCUUCUUCUACACUGGAAACGAGGGCGACGUGUGGGCCUUCGCCAACAACUCGGGCUUCGUCGCGGAGCUGGCGGCCGAGCAGGGGGCUCUACUGGUCUUCGCGGAGGUGCCGGGGGUGCGGGGGGGUCGCGGAGCACCGCUACUACGGGAAGUCGCUGCCGUUCGGUGCGCAGUCCACGCAGCGCGGGCACACGGAGCUGCUGACGGUGGAGCAGGCCCUGGCCGACUUCGCAGAGCUGCUCCGCGCCCUACGACGCGACCUCGGGGCCCAGGAUGCCCCCGCCAUCGCCUUCGGUGGAAGGACUUUGAGGGCCAGAGUCCCAAAUGCACCCAGGGUGUGCGGGAAGCGUUCCGACAGAUCAAGGACUUGUUCCUACAGGGAGCCUACGACACGGUCCGCUGGGAGUUCGGCACCUGCCAGCCGCUGUCAGACGAGAAGGACCUGACCCAGCUCUUCAUGUUCGCCCGGAAUGCCUUCACCGUGCUGGCCAUGAUGGACUACCCCUACCCCACUGACUUCCUGGGUCCCCUCCCUGCCAACCCCGUCAAGGUGGGCUGUGAUCGGCUGCUGAGUGAGGCCCAGAGGAUCACGGGGCUGCGAGCACUGGCAGGGCUGGUCUACAACGCCUCGGGCUCCGAGCACUGCUACGACAUCUACCGGCUCUACCACAGCUGUGCUGACCCCACUGGCUGCGGCACCGGCCCCGAC